GAGACAUUGGUGUAGCAGCAGCACAACGCUCUGUGGCAGCGUUAGCAGGGGUGCAACUCCCCUAUGUCUCC
rfam:Parcubacteria group bacterium RIFCSPLOWO2_01_FTLL_48_18 rifcsplowo2_01_scaffold_573, whole genome shotgun sequence.